rnacentral:rRNA from 1 species
GUUUACAGCCAUACCAACCUGAACAAGCCUGAUCCCGUCUGAUCUUGGAAGCUAAGCAGGGUCAGUCCUGGUUAGUUCUUGGAUGGGAGACCACCUAGGAAGACUAGGUGUAUGGGCA